GAAGAAUUCAUUUUUCUGAGAUGGAGAAAACCUUACCAAAGCUGUAUAGGGAAUGCCAAUGCUGAUUAUUCUCAUUUUUAAAAUAAGGAAACUUGGAGUCUGAAAGAGGAUAAUAGGCAAGAAAGGCAGAGGCAUAGAUGAGAGAAUAGCAAUAAACCAGGGAUGAAGGGAGCCCUGGUGACAAAAAGGACAUGGGAUUCUCUCUGUGGUCAAGAAGAUGGCAGUGAGAGGGGUAAAUUCACUCACUUACCCAUGGUCCUCUUUGGAGAGUGGAGUACCAAGGGUGACAAGCCUCAGCUGGCUGAGAUUGAGGUUUGUUUGGGCCCCAUUGUCACAGCAACAAGGGAAUGUUUGGUAACAGAGCCAGUGAUCUCACAGAAGCUGGUCAUAGCGACACCUUGUUGAAGCUCAGGGAAGAGCAGAGCCAUCCAGGAGAGAACUUGGAGGAAGAGGAAGACAAUAGUUUCCUUGGAAGAGCUCUCAGGGAAGAGCAGAGCCAGCCAGGAGAGAAUGUGGAGGCAGAGGAAGACAAUAGUUCCCUUGGAAGAGCUGUGACUACUAGAAAAGUACUGUCCUGCUCAGGGAAGAGCAGAGCCAGCCAGGAGAGAAUGUGGAGGCAGAGGAAGACAAUAGUUCCCUUGGAAGAGCUGUGACUACUAAAAGUACUGUCCUGGUGAGUGUACUCUUUUUGUGACUUCUAGAAAAGUACUGUCCUGGUGUGUAUACUCUUUAUCUCUCAUCCAAAAUUUUGGGGGAGGGAGCAAGAGGGGAGGUCUGCUGGGGAAAGGGACCCACUGAGCCUCCACUCAGGUUUUUGCUGCUUGUAAAGAAAAAGACGGCCCCAAGUCCUAGUGCUGUGGGAGGAGGUGGGGGGUAGUGACUAGCCCAAGGUCACACAGAGUGUCACGUUAUUCAAAUACAGGAAAAUCUUGAUGCUGUAAAUUUAAAUCAAUAUCCAAUGACUCCAAGAAUUAGAUUUUCUAAGAUUUAAUAAUAAUUACUUGAAGCAGAAGGAGUAAAAGGAUAAAAGUAAAAGGCUAUGUACAGCCAGCUUUCCCAGCCACGUUCACAGGAAAAGAGAAGAGAGGGUGUGUGUCACACACAAACUUUAUCCCCAAAACUGAUGAAUGUAACAAAACAAAAGUGGAAUGCUGGGAAAGCAAAUCCUGAGGUUCAAAAUUGUAAUUACACAAUACUCACUUAAAAUGCCAGACUAAAGAAAAGACAGACAGACAGAGAGAUGAACAAAGAGACAAGAAUAAACCGCAGACAGAGAGACA
rnacentral:lncRNA from 1 species